rnacentral:rRNA from 1 species
GUGAUGAUGAAGGACUAGAGUAGGGCGGGACACGUGUAAUCCUGUCUGAACAUGGGGGGACCACCCUCCAAGCCUAAAUACUCGUAUAUGACCGAUAGUGAACAAGUACCGUGAGGGAAAGGUGAAAAGCACCCCGAUUAGGGGAGUGAAACAGUACCUGAAACCGAAUGCUUACAAUCAGUGGGAGCCUCUUUAGGGGGUGACCGCGUACCUCUUGCAUAAUGGGUCAGUGACUUAAUCUAUCAAGCAAGCUUAAGCC